AAAACGAAUCAAAACUUUCAACAACGGAUCUCUUGGUUCUGGCAUCGAUGAAGAACGCAGCGAAAUGCGAUAAGUAAUGUGAAUUGCAGAAUUCAGUGAACCAUCGAAUCUUUGAACGCACAUUGCGCCCGCCAGCACUCUGGCGGGCAUGCCUGCCCGAGCGUCAUUUCGACCCUC
rnacentral:rRNA from 1 species